rnacentral:rRNA from 1 species
CAGCACCUCAAGUGGUCAGGAUGAUUAUUGGGCCUAAAGCAUCCGUAGCCGGCGCUGUAAGUUUUCGGUUAAAUCUGUACGCUCAACGUACAGGCUGCCGGGAAUACUGCAGCGCUAGGGAGUGGGAGAGGUAGACGGUACUCGGUAGGAAGGGGUAAAAUCCUUUGAUCUAUUGAUGACCACCUGUGGCGAAGGCGGUCUACCAGAACACGUCCGACGGUGAGGGAUGAAAGCUGGGGGAGCAAACCGGAUAGAUACCCGAGUAGUCC